rnacentral:rRNA from 1 species
UACGGGGGGGGCAAGCGUUGUUCGGAAUUACUGGGCGUAAAGGGUCUGUAGGUGGCUUGCUAAGUCAGACGUGAAAUCCCUCAGCUUAACUGGGGAACUGCGUCUGAGACUGGCGAGCUUGAGUGCAGGAGAGGAACGCGGAAUUCCAGGUGUAGCGGUGAAAUGCGUAGAUAUCUGGAGGAACACCGGUGGCGAAGGCGGCGUUCUGGACUGCAACUGACACUGAGAGACGAAAGCCAGGGGAGCAAACGGGAUUAGAAACCCCAGUAGUCC